UACAGAGGGGGCAAGCGUUAUUCGGAAUUAUUGGGCGUAAAGAGCUCGUAGGCGGUUUGUCGCGUCUGCUGUGAAAACCUAAGGCUCAACCUUGGGCUUGCAGUGGGUACGGGCAGACUAGAGUGCGGUAGGGGUGACUGGAAUUCCUGGUGUAGCGGUGGAAUGCGCAGAUAUCAGGAGGAACACCGAUGGCGAAGGCAGGUCACUGGGC
rnacentral:rRNA from 1 species